AUGGAGCAAGUGACGAAGCUAGCGGGGCAGCGGGCCGUGGUGAUCUUCGGCACGAGCUCCUGCUGCAUGUGCCACACGGUGACGAGCCUCCUCCGGGAUCUCGGGGCAAACCCCACGGUGGUGGAACUGGACGAGGACCCUUGGGGGAAGGAGAUGGAGAAGGCGCUGGCGCGGCUCAUCGGACGGAACCCUGCCGUGCCGGCGGUGUUCAUCGGCGGCAGGCUCGUCGGAUGCACCGACAAGGUCAUGUCCCUUCACCUCAGCGGCAAACUGGUCCCGCUGCUUCGUAAUGCAGGUGCUGUCUGGGUGUAG
rnacentral:rRNA from 1 species